GAUGAACGCUGGCGGCGUGCCUAAUACAUGCAAGUCGAACGAACAGACGAGGAGCUUGCGGCUCUGACGUUAGGGGCGGGCGUGUGAGUAACAUGUGUAUACCCUACCUAUAUUUCUGGUAUAACUUGGGGAAACCGGAGCAAAUACCAGAUGAUCUAUUGAACCGUGUGGUUCGAUGGUGAAAUACGGUUUUGCUGUAUGUUAUAGCUGGAUCCUCGCCUGAUGAGCUAGUUGUUGAGUUCAAGGCUUAUGAAGGCUACGAUGCGUAGACGACCGGUGAGACUGAUAGGCCACACUGGAACUGAGACACGGUCAAGAGUCCUACGGGAGGCACCAGUAGCGAAUCUUACGCAAUGGGCGAAAGUCUGACGGAGUAACGCCGAGUGAGUUACGACGGUCUUCGGAGCGUAAAACCCGGUUAUUAGUGAAGAACAAAUGUGUAAGUAACUAUGCCCGUAUUGACGGUAACUAAUAAGAAAGCAACGGCUAACUACGUG
rnacentral:rRNA from 1 species